rnacentral:snRNA from 1 species
AUGAGUAUGACUGGUUCCUAGAA